CAGCAUCCUCUUUUCACACACCACCGUCAGAGAGUCCAGUUCCACCCCCACAACAUCACUGGCCUUACGAAUGAGUUUGUUGAUUCUGUUGGUGUCUGCUACCCUCAGCCUGCUGCCCCAGCACACAACAGCAAACAUGAUAGCACUGGCCACCACAGCCUCGUAGAACAUCCUCAGCCAGUGGUGCCCAAACUUUUGUAUGCACUGUAUAUACAUCUAUUAAAUAGUUAAGUUAGAAUAAGUAGUGAAAAGUAUCAAAAAUAAAGAAGUAGUGAGGAAGUGCUCAUCGGUCCAAUGUCCAUUUAGAAAUCAGGUGGGGAGGAAGCUGUUCCUGAAUCACUGAGUGUGUGGUUUGGGUACUCCUGAUGGUCGCAAUGAGAACAAGGCAGGUCCCAGGUGGUGGGGAUCCUUAAUAAUGAAUCGCUCCUUCAAGAUGUCUUGGUACCCGUGAAGGAGCUGACUAACUUUACAAGUUUCUGCAACUCACUUCGAUUGUGUGCAGUAGCCCCCCCCCCGCCCCCCAUAUCAGACAGUGAUGCAGCCAGCCAGUGCACUCUCUAUGGUACAAUUGUAGAAAUUCUUGACAAACCAAAUUCCCUCAAACUCCUAAUGAAAUAUAGCUGCUGUCGUGCCUUCUUUAUAGCUGCAUCAAUGUGUUGUGUCCAGGUUUGACACCCAGGAAUUUGAAAUUGCUCACUCUCUCCACCUCUGAUCCCUCGAUGAGGAUUGGUGUGUGUUCCCUCGUCUUACCUGUUCUGAAAUCCAGAAUCAGCUCUUUGGCCUUGCCGACAAUGAGUGCAAGCUUCUUCCAGUAACACCACUCAACUAGCUGGUAUAUCUUGCUCCUGUACGCCCUCUCGUCACCGUCUAAAAUUCUGCCAACAUCAUCAGCAAAUGUUUGAGCUAUGCCUGGCCACACAGUUAUGGGUGUACAGAGAGUCGAGCAGUGGGCUAGGCACACACCCCUGUGAUGCACCGUGUUGAUUGUCUGCAAGGUUGAGAUGUUGUGGUCUUCUGGUUAGGAAGUCAGGGAUCCAUUUACAGAGGGCAGUACAGAGGCUUUUUAAUCAGGAUUGUAGGAAUGAUUCUGUUAAAUGUUGAACUAUAGUUGAUAAACAGCAUCCUGACAUACUGUAGGUAGUUGCAUUGUCCAGGUGAUCCAAGUCUGCAUGGAGAGCCAUUGAGAUCGUGUCUGCUGCAGACCGUAGAUGUGAGCACUACUGGACGAUAGUCAUUGAGGCAGCUCACACAGCUCUUCUUGGGCAUUGGUGUAAUUGUCGCCCUUUUGGAGCAGGUGAGAACUUCUGACUGUAGCAAUGAGAGAUUGCAAAUGUUUUGAAUACUCCCACCAGUUAGUUAGCACAGGGUUUCUGUGCCUUACCAGGUACUCCAUCGAGACCUGUCACCUCACGAGGGAACCCCUGUUAGAAGACAGCUUGACAUCAGCCUCCGAGACAGAGAUCACUUUGUGAUGUUGGGUUUUGCUUUGUAGGAAGUAAUGACCUGCAAACCCAGCCAGAGAUGAUGCACGUUCGAUGUCACCUCCAACCUCUCCCGGAAUUCCUUCUUGGCUCUUGAAAUAGCCCUCCAUGGAUCUCUUGGGAGCCAUAGUUCGAGCCCUCAGCAGAAAGUGGAGGUGGUUCCUGCUGUUUAAUGUCUUGGAGUACAAAGCAUAACAGAGGCAACAAGGAAGUUUUAAACAAACCCAAGGUGACUACCUACACAUGGAAGCACAGUGAGACAAAGAGAGCAACGAGAAACGGGCAAGUUUAAAAACACAGAGUUUUUUCCUUCAGAUCAGCACAUUUUCUUCACAAAAGCAAAGAUGAUCAAAUUCAAAAAGACAGAAAAUAUCCUUUUACAACCGGUAUCUAACAUUGAUGCCACUCAGUGCCCUGGAAGCCCAUAUGAAACUGGAGUUUUCGGAAGCUGAUGUUGGAGUUGCUGAGACUAUUGUUAUUGGUCAGCCGGCAUCCGGUUGAAAAAGGUGAAGCUUCCAUUUUUACGGGAACAAAUGCUUUCAUCAUGAGAAGGUUUGAGGGAACGUUGCAAUAAGAGGGACGGAGAAAAUUGUUUGAAAACCCAGACCAUUCACCCGGUGUUGACAGCUGCUUUUGAGAAGGUGCAAGUUCCUUCUAAGCAGGAUAAACGAGGAACUGUGUGGUGCACCCCGCCUAAACCUGUUGUGUUAUUGUUACUCUUCUCAUUGUUACCGUCAGGUGGGAAAUAGAGGAGCCUGAAGCCACACACUCAGCGAUUCAGGAACAGCUUCUUCCCCUCUGCCAUCCGAUUCCUAAAUGGACAUUGAACACUACCUCACUUUUCUUUCUGUUUUUGUACUAUUUUAAUCUAUUAAUAAAGUA